rnacentral:lncRNA from 1 species
GUUCUAGUUCAUAUUUAGUGAAUAGUCCUCCAUUCAUGUUCUUUGCCCUUUUAUCUAUAAUGGUGUUAUGUUUUUCUUAUUGAUUUAUCUAUGUUAUUAACCAAACAAAUGUAAAACUAUUCCAUCUGCAAUAUUACUUCAUGAAUACUUUCAUGAUACAUAACAUUCUACAUUUAAAAGUUUACAUAUUUAGGAUACAUAGAAAUAUUUAAUCUGUUCAAUUACCUUUAUAGCUUUCCAAUUUCUUGUUGCUUACCUCAAGGUUUUAACAAAUUAGUAAAUUUAUGCUAUACCACUUUUUAGUUUUGCUUUUCACAUUGACAUUUUAAUCCAUGUAAAAUGUAUUUUGGUAUAUGGUAUGAGAGGACAGAAAUUGUUUAUUUUAACUGUUAAGUCAUCUUAGUAAUAUUUAUGGAAUAAUUUUGUGUAUUAAUCCAUUCUUACUCUGCUAUGAAGAAAUACCAGAGACUGGGUAAUUUAUAAAGGAAAGAGAUUUAAAUGAUUCACAGUUCCGCAGGGCUGGGGAGGCCUCAGGAAACUUACAAUCAAGGCAGAAGGGGAAGCAAACACAUCCUUCUUCACAUGGAGGCAGCAAGGAGAAGUGCAGAGCAAAGGGGCAGGGGGAAGCCCCUUAUAAAACCGUGAGGUCUCAUGAGAACUCACUCACUAUCACAAGAACAGUAUGGGGGAAACCACCCCCAUAAUUCAAUUAUCUCCACCUUGUCCCAUCCUUGACACGUGGGGAUUAUUACAAUUCAAGAUGAGAUUUUGGGUGGAAACACAGAGCCAAACCACAUCGUACUGUGACUUAUUCAUCCUUACAUACAGACCUUAGAUUAAGACAAAAAUGCUUCUGUGUUAUAUUUGGAAUUAUAUAGUGAAUGAAUAAUGAUUUCAUUCUUCCUUACCUUUAUGUACACCUCUUCUGUCUUUUUUAUGUAUUUCUCCCUUGACCACAACUUCCACAAAGUUAGUAAUAAUAGUGGACAUUGUUCUUUUUUGCUGAUUUUUAGCAGGUAUACCUCUGGCGUUAUCCAUUAAAUAUGGUCAUGGAUAUAACUUGGAAAAAAUAAAUCCUUGUAUUUUGAAGAUAUAGCUUUCCUGAUUAUAAGAAAGAAUAUAUAUUUAUAAGAAAAAUAUAAAAAAAUUUAAAAAUGUAAAAUAAACUCUUUAUUUUUAUCAUUGUCACAACUACCCAAUUUGUUGUGUGUGAUAAAGUCACCUUUUAUCAUAGUUAAAAGUAUCAUUCCACUUCUAUACUGUAAUAUUUUGAUUAAUUGUCUCGGUGUUUUAACAAAUAGCUUUUUACUUUUUACAUAUUAAAAAUAAAAACACCAAAAAUUCAAGAAGAUGGCUGAAACAAAUAUUCAGAAGUGGAACUUAAAGAUGUAAAAAAUUGCCAACUUUACUAGUGAUCAAAAAUGUAAGAAUUAGCUUGUAUAUUUUUAAAAAUCUAACAAUACAUAUUUAAAUGUGAUGAGAUGGACAUUCACGUAUGCUUCUGUGGAGAUAUAAGUUGGCUUUAUAAUUAUGAAGAGCAAUUUAAAAAUAUAUAGUAGGAUUCUUAAAUAUGGUUGAAACUUUAAACCAGAAAAUCUACUGUGGGUCUUUAUUUUAAAGAAUUUAUUCAAGAUAUACAUUAUCUGUAAUAAAGAAAAAAAUAAAAAUGUAAAUACUUAAAAAUAGAACAAUACUUAAAUAAGUAUUCCGUUGUGGAAUAUUAUGCACCCAAUAAAAAUCAUGUGGAAGAGAAUUUUUAAUGUUAUAAAACAUAUCUUAUGAUAAAUUGAAAAGAAACUUAGUUAAAUUGACUUAACACACGUUCUUAGUUGUUUAAAAAAUAUGUAAAGACAUUAUCCCUCCCAAGUAAAUACAGGUUAUAGAAGAUUUUUUGAAAUAUCAAUAGAUUUUAUUUUUGGUUGUUGGGAUUGUUGGCGAUCUUUAUUUAUUUGUUUUUAUAUUUUUUUGUAUGUGCUGUUAUCAAUUUUUGCCUCUUAGCUUCACAUUCACCCUUCAUUGCCCUGCUUGGGACAAGAGUACUUUUCCUUUGCCUGUGGACACAGGGAUACACUUUGUCAGUAGAGGGCGCAGGAGAGACACUGGACUAGGACGAGGGAUUCAUCCUGGUUCCGGUAUUCUGUCUUGCUACCCUGGCUGGAGGCAGCUGGAGGGAGGCGGGCAGCAGGACACCCAGUGGCACUCACCUCCAGGGAGUUUCAGCCACACUACCACCCGGGGCAUGACGUUUUCCUACGCGGCUUCCUCCAGCACCCCAGAGGUGCACAACUCAGGGAACUUUUCCCUCAUCCAGCGGGCCAAAGCAGCACAGCCACCAUCCAGAUGUGGAUGUCAACUCUGGAAAGGGAGUGUCUUCCAUAUUUGUUCCUUCCUUGGGUUCUCUGCCUUAGUCCUAGAGCUGGUGGCUGCUUUCUUUUCUUCCACUCAUUUGUUGUUUGGAAUUCUCUUCGCUUUUUGUAGGUAAUUCCAUGUUAUAGUUAAUAAUUCCUUGUAUUCAACAUUUCCUGUUCAAAUUGCUGUGUGGUUUUUGUCUCCUGUUUGGACCCUAACUUAAAAAUUUCAUUUUUUUUCCCCACAUUUUCCACAAUUCCCAUCAUAAUCAGAAAAUAAACUCAAGUUUAUUUCUCUUUAUUAAGAUGAUCCAUAGUUAAUAGAUAGAUAGCGGUAGCUAGCCAGCUAUCUAGCUAGAUUGAUUUGGUAAAGGGAAAAUAAGCAUGAAUUUAUUUUCUGGUUAUGA